GGAGGGGAUGUGGACCUGGUGGCCACCCCGGGCUUCAAACCCGGUGGGGCGGCAGGUGACUGUCGCCCGGUAGGUUCGAUUCCUACCCCCUUCCGCCA
rnacentral:tRNA from 1 species